rnacentral:tRNA from 1 species
GGAAAUGUAGCUCAUUGAUAGAGCACUUGCCUAACAUGCACAAGACCCAGGGUUCAAUUCCCAGCAUGACCA